CUACGGGAUGCUCCAGUCGAGAAACUUUUACAAUGCACGAAAGUGUGAUAGAGCAAGCCAAAGUGAUUACCCGUAUAGGGUAAUCUUUUGUGAGAUGUAGAAAGUCUCACGAAUAAGGACCGGGAGAGACUGGUGCCAGCCGCCGCGGUAAUACCAGCGGUCCAAGUCGCAGCCACAUUUGUUGGGUCUAAAACAUCCGUAGCUUGUUUAGUAAGUCUUUUGUGAAAUCUGAUAUCUUAAGUAUUGGGCUUGCAAAAGAUACUGCUUUGCUAGAGAUCGGGGGACGUGAAGAGUACGGUUAGGGUAGUGGUAAAAUACGUUGAUCCUUUCUGGACUAACAAUAGCGAAGGCACUUCACGAGAACGAAUCUGACAGUGAGGGAUGAAGGCUAGGGGCGCAAAACGGAUUAGAUACCCCAGUAGUC
rnacentral:rRNA from 1 species